rnacentral:rRNA from 1 species
GAUGAACGCUGGCGGCGUGCCUAACACAUGCAAGUUGAGCGGGGGUAUACCUUCGGGAAUACUUCAGCAGCGGACGGGUGAGUAACGCGUGGGUAAUCUGCCGUAUACACGGGGAUAACAUUGGGAAACCGAUGCUAAUACCCGAUAAGCUCUCGAUGUCGCAUGGCAAUGAGAGGAAAGAUUUAUCGGUAUACGAGGAACCCGCGUCUGAUUAGCCAGUUGGUGGGGUAACGGCCUACCAAAGCAACGAUCAGUAGCCGACCUGAGAGGGUGAUCGGCCACAUUGGGACUGAGACACGGCCCAAACUCCUACGGGAGGCAGCAGUGGGGAAUAUUGCACAAUGGACGGAAGUCUGAUGCAGCAACGCCGCGUGAGGGAAGAAGGUUUUCGGAUCGUAAACCUCUAUCGACAGGGACGAAACUAAUGACGGUACCUGAGUAAGAAGCCCCGGCUAACUACGUGCCAGCCGCCGCUGUAAUAC